CCUACGGGAGGCAGCAGUGGGGAAUUUUGCACAAUGGGCGAAAGCCUGAUGCAGCAACGCCGCGUGUGUGAUGAAGGUCUUCGGAUUGUAAAGCACUUUCGACCGGGACGAACAACCUCUGGCUAACAGUCAGGGGCCUGACGGUACCGGGAGAAGAAGCACCGGCUAACUCUGUGCCAGCAGCCGCGGUAAUACAGAGGGUGCAAGCGUUGUUCGGAAUUAUUGGGCGUAAAGCGCGUGUAGGCGGCAAGGUAAGUCGGGUGUGAAAGCCCUCAGCUCAACUGAGGAAGUGCGCCCGAAACUGCCCUGCUUGAGUGCCGGAGAGGAUGGCGGAAUUCCCCAAGUAGAGGUGAAAUUCGUAGAUAUGGGGAGGAACACCGGUGGCGAAGGCGGCCAUCUGGACGGUGACUGACGCUGAGACGCGAAAGCGUGGGUAGCAAACAGGAUUAGAUACCCCAGUAGUC
rnacentral:rRNA from 1 species